GAUGAAGAACGCAGCGAAAUGCGAUAAGUAAUGUGAAUUGCAGAAUUCAGUGAAUCAUCGAAUCUUUGAACGCACAUUGCGCCCCUUGGUAUUCCGAGGGGCAUGCCUGUUCGAGCGUCAUUAUAACCCUCAAGCUCAGCUUGGUGUUGGGGCCUGCUGCAGUGGCAGCCCUUAAAAUCAGUGGCGGCGCCAUCUGGCUCUAAGCGUAGUAAUUCUUCUCGCUAUGGAGUCCUGGUGGAUGCUUGCCAUCAACCCCCAAUUUUUCUAUGGUUGACCUCGGAUCAGGUAGGGAUACCCGCUGAACUUAAGCAUAUCAUAAGCGGAGGA
rnacentral:misc_RNA from 1 species